UAUCCAGGUAAAAAAUGAUCAUCACAAAUAUCAAUAUUUUUUAUUGCUAAAUGAUGUGGUUGUUUCAUUUGAUCCCAAGCCUAUCCAGGAGAUUGAUAAAAAAUAUUUAUGGAUCUUUAGCAAACACUAAAUGCAAAUUGUACAUAUAUAGCAAAUUGUUGCGUCAUGACUUUGUAAGAUAUUUCUAUCUUAUACUUAUUUGCUUUUAUAUGUUUAUGUUAUUUUUUUGCACUUUUUUUUUAUAUAUAUUGUUCUUUUGAUGAAAUGUUUGCCUACCUUUGAAUUAUUAAUAGAAUUCAUUCAUCUAUUAAUAUUUUUUUAAGGUGGUGUUAGCGGACAUAAAAAUUACAUUAUUUUUGCUACCAAAAUUCUUAGUUUAAUAGUAAUAUCACUAUGAACAGUUAGGUUUUUCCAAGAAUUGGAUGAGUUUAUCAAGACAUAGCCAAGAGUUUAGGGACAACAUCAAUAGAUUCUAGGACUAUGCUUACUCCGUUUUACUCUUGUUGCCAAUUAAAUUUGGAUGUUUAAUUUUGUCAAUAGAUAUGUUAAAUUUAGAAAAUAGCAAUGGCUGACAGAAGUGUGCGAUGAGUUCCGUCCAAACCUGAAAGGUUGCAUCUUCUUUUACUAUUCUUGACGGGUGUGGCUCUGUCCUGCACCCAAGACAAGCAAGUAUCUCAUUCUUUGGGAAUUUUGCCGCCAGUGAUGAACCGAAAACCAGACUAGCAAACGUGUUCUUCUCAUUCUUCAUGGUAGUAGGAAGCGUAUUUAUUGCCAUGGAGAAUGAGAAGCCAACAUCAAGGAUAAAAUUGAGAAUUUUCCAAACGUUCUUGGAGCCACCAAGUGCACACUCAAUGGGUUCCACACCCAAAGACACAACACCCAUAAACACCCAGUUUAUCAAAAGACCCCGAGCUUUAUACGACACGUCGAUGUUAUACGCUGCAUCCCUAGGUUUCCACUGUAUACCUCCUUCCCCAUCCAAUCAGUGUUGUACAAGAAGAACACAAACACAUCAGUUUCUCCCCGUCAAACACACUCCCCAUUCCUCAAAUACCUCUGUCUCUCUCCAUCAAACACACUCCCCAUCCCACGAACGCCUCUAUCUCUCUCUGUCAAACCUACUCUCCAUCCCUUGAAUGCACUCCCCGCAUCUCUCGAACGUGCUCUUCGUCAAACACUCUCUCCAUCCCUCGAAUGUAACACUAUGUAGCCAUGAGACCGGCGCAGCUAGAGUCGGGGUCAGCACCGGUGCAGUCGUAAUAGGGGUCACCACUGGGGCAGCCAAGCCUAGUCCAAAAGCUGGUCAUGGUGGCCUUCGUCGCUGCUGGAAUACACUUAGCCUCGGCUGUAUAGCUAACAAUGCUAAUAACUGUCUGCCAGAUUUUUGGAGUACCUAUCAGAAGAAUCUCAUUCGUCUGGCUCGACGGCCCCGUUUCCAACUUGGUUCUCGAGCCCAUCCUCGGUUACUACAGCAGCAACCCUGUCCUUUUAUCCAUGCCGGUGCCGUUGCCCUUAUAAGAGAUCUUUUGAUGAUUGGCUUUUUCGCAGACAUCGACUACGCCUUUUGAGACUUACUCUCCUGUACAGAACUUUGGGCACGCAUCAUAGUCCUAUUUAUGAUUGGGUUCUGGUGUUUGGAGAUGUCGAUUAACAUGAUCCAAGUCCCCUGCCGAGCCUUCCUUGAUGACCUUACGGCCAGCGACCAACGAAAAAUUCGACUGCCAAACACGCUCAUCGCAUUUUUCAUGGCAGUGAGAAGUGUGUUGGGUUACUUGGCCACAUUCCUUUAGAGAUUCCCGACAAUGUUCCCAUUCACGAUUACAAAAGCAUCCGACCCUAUCUGCGCAAACCUGACAGGCGGUUUAUUAUUCUCGAUGCUCCUUCUAGUGUCUUUGACGGGUGUGGCUCUUUCCUGCCUCAAGAUCAAGCAGGUAUUACCUGAGAAGUCAAGUGAGCAGAAAGAGGAAGAUGAUAGAUGGACGGUGGUUACAUGUUUUCGGAAAAUGUUAGCGGCGAUGAAAGGGUUGAAGAAGCCGAUGUCGCUAAUGACGGUUACACCAAUAAAUUGGUUGGCGUGGUCAAUGAUCUUCAUGUACAUUUAUGAUUGGAUGGAGAGGGAGGUAUACAGUGGGAAGUCUGGGAUUAAAGUGGAUACAGUGUCUGACAUAGGCUAUCGGUAUAUAAAUUGUGGUCUUAUACUAAAUUGGUUUGUUAUGGGUGCUAUGUCUUUGGCUGUGGAACCCAUUGGACGUGCUCUUUGUGGGACAAAAAUUCCUUGGGGGCUGAAAAUUUUAUCUUGCUGGUGGCUUGGUUACGACGGUUUACAUCAGCAAGCUAGCUUAGGACGAGCGACUGGAGCACUAUGUUGACCUUCGCUUUUAAGAUCGUUACCCCUCCAACAUUAUCACCUUCUUUUUCUUCAACAAAAGCUUUAGUUUAACAAACUCUUAUUUUAACCGACCUCAUGUCUAGCCGAGGACUACCUCCCUCCAAAGCUUCUCCUCUUUGUGCCCACUUUCGAAUACCUUCCUCUUUGUGCCCGACACCUUCUACCUCCCUCCAAACUCUCUUCUUUGUGUCCAGUUACAUACCUUCUUCUUUGAUAGCCAUGAGUUCACCGACAGAAUCAGGCUCCACACUGGCGGAGCCAAUCUCAUUGUGGAAGCUGAUUUUGGUUGCCUCCAUCGUUGUCGGGAUCCACCUUGUCAACGCUGUCCAGAUAGCAUGGCUAAUACCAAUCUAUGUGGCAUUCAGAAUACCGGAUAAAUGGACCUCUUUGGUGUGGCUCGUCGGCGCCGUUUCUAGUUCUGUUUUCCAUCCCUUACUUAGUUAUUACAACAACACCUGUAAACUCGGGUGGCAGCACCGUCCUUUUAUAUUUGCGGGUGUUGUUGGCGCCACCAUAGCUUUUGACAAUUGGAUUCGCCAAAGACAUUGGGUACGCCUUUGGAGACAACCUCUCCGAGUAUACUCAGUAUCACGCCUUAAUCAUUUUUCGGAUCGGAUUGUAGAUGUUGGAGAUUUCGAUCAACAUGAUCGAUGCCCGCUGCAAAGACUUCCUUGAUGAUCUUGCCAGCAGAGACCAACCAAAGAUCAGACUGGCAUACUAGUUCUUCGAUUUCUUCAUGACAGUCAGAAACGAACUGGGUUACUUGGCCGCCUUGUUUAGUAGAUUCGAUAUUAUGUUGGAAUUCACCGUGACAAAAUUAUGUGAUAGGUUCUGCGCAAAUGUGAAAAGCAUAUCAACUUUCUCAAUUCUUCUUCUACCGUUAUUGACGGCUGUGGCUGUGUUCUGCGUCCAGAACAAGCUAGCAUUACCAGAGGAGGAGUCAAGUGAGAGACAAGAGGAAGAUGACAUGUUAUUCAGCCUCUUCAAGGUCUGAAACAUUUCUCGGAAGCAUUUAACUAGUGCGCAUCUGUCAUCUUUCUUUUCCGUCUCACUUGACUCCUCCUCAGGUAAUGCUGGCUUGUUCUGGAUGCAGAACAGAGCCACAGCCGUUAAUAACGGUAGAAGAAGGAUUGGGAAAGUUGAUAUGCUUUUCAUGUUUGCGCAGAACCUAUCACAUGCUUUUGUCACGGUGAAUGCCAACAUAACAUCGAAUCUACUAAAUAAGGCGGCCAAGUAACCCAAUUCGUUUCUGACUGCCAUGAAGAAUGAGAAGAACUGGUAUGCCAGUCUGAUCUUUGGUUGGUCUCUGCUUGCAUGAUUGUCAAGGAAGUCUCUGCAGCGGGCAUCGAUCAUGUUGAUCGAAAUCUCCAACAUUCAUAAUUCGAUCCCAAAAUUGAUUAAGGCGCGAUGCUGAGUAUACUCGAAGAGGUUGUCUCCAAAGGUGUACCCAAUGUCUUUGGUGAAUACAAUUGUCAAAAAGCUAUGAUGGCGCCAACGGCACCCGCAAACAUAAAAGGACGGUGCCGCCACCCGAGUUUACAGGUGUUGCUGUAAUAACUAAGCAAGGGAUGGAACUCAGAGCUAGAAACGGCACCGAUGAGCCACACCAAAGAGGUCCAUUUAUCCGUUAUUUCGAACUCCACAAAGAUUGGUAUUAGCUAUGCUAUCUGGACAGCGUUGACAAGGUGGAUCACGACAGCGAUGGAGGCCACCAAAACAAGCUUCCACACUGAGACUGGCUCCGCCGGUGUGGAGCCUGAUUCUGUCGGUGAACUCAUGGCUAUGGAAGAAGAAGGUAUGUAACUGCGCACAAAGAAGAGAAUUUGGAGGGAGGUAGAUGGUAUCAGGCACAAAGAGGAAGGUAUUAGAAAGUGGGCAUAAAGACGAGCAGCUUUGGAGGGAGGUAGUCCUCUGCUGGUCAAGAGGUGGGUUAAAAUAAAUCAUCAUCACCUUCUUUUUCAUCAACCAAAGCUUUAGUUUAACAAACUCUUAUUUUAACUCACCUCUUGUCCAGCCAAGGACUACCUCCCUCAAAAGCUUCUCCUCUUUGUGCCCACUUUCGAAUAUCUUCCUCUUUGCGCCCGAUACCUUCUACCUACCUCCAAACUCUCUUCUUUGUGCCCUAUAACAUUCCUUCACUUUUAAGCCAAGAGUUCACCGAGUUCAUUGACAGAAUCAGGCUCCACAUCGGCGGAGCCGAUCUCAGUAUGGAAGCUGGUUUUGGUGGCCUCCAUCGCUGUCGGGAUCCACCUUGUCAACGCUGUCCAGAUAGCAUGGAUAAUACCAAUCUAUGUGGAGUUCGGAAUACCGGAUAAAUGGACUUAUUUGGUGUGGCUCGUCGGUGCCGUUUCUAGCUCUGUUUUCCAUCCCUUACUUAGUUAUUACAGCAACACCUCUAUACUCGGGUGGCGGCACCAUCCUUUUAUGUUUGCGGGUGCUGUUGACGCCACCGUAGUUUUUUUGACAAUUGGAUUCGCCAAAGACAUUGGGUACGCCUUUGGAGACAACCUCUCCGAGUAUACUCAGUAUCGCGCCUUAAUCAUUUUUGGGAUCUGAUUGUGGAUGUUGGAGAUUUCGAUCAACAUGAUCGAUGCCCGCUGCAGAGACUUCCUUGACGAUCUGGCCAGCAGAGACCAACCAAAGAUCAGGCUGGCAUACCAGUUCUUCUCAUUCAUUAUGGCAGUCGGAAAUGAACUGGGUUACUUGGCCGCAUUAUUUAGUAGAUUCGAUGUUAUGUUGGCAUUUACCAUGACAAAAGCAUGUGAUAGGUUCUGUGCAAAUUCGAAAAGCAUAUCAAUUUUUUCAAUCCUUCUUCUACCGUUAUUGACGGCUGUGGCUGUGUUCUGCGUUCAGAACAAUAUAGUAUUACCUCAGGAGGAGUCAAGUGUGAGGGAAGAGGAAGAUGACAGAUGCGCACUAGUUAAAUGCUUCCGAGAAAUGUUUCGGACCAUGAAGAGGCUGAAAAACAUGUUGGGUUUUAUUCAACCUCUUCAUGGUCCGAAACAUUUCUCGAAAGCAUUUAACUAGUGCGCAUCUGUCACCAUCCUCUUCUCUCUCACUUGACUCCUCCUCAGGUAUUGCUGGCUAUUUCUAUACGCAAAACAUAGCCACAGCCGUCAAUAACGGUAGAAGAAGGAUUGAGAAAAUUGAUAUGCUUUUCAUAUUUAUGCAGAACCUAUCACAUGCUUUUGUCACGGUGAAUGCCAACAAAACAUCGAAUCUACUAAAUAACGCGCCCAAGUAACCCAGUUCGUUUCUGACUGCCAUGGAGAAUAAAAAAAA